AUUCUCCUACCCUCAGCUCCCCCUCCUCGCGCGCUCGGCCACGCCAGGGCCGCUCCCCCCUGUUCCCCUCAAGCUUCAGCCGAGCCCCUUCUUCCCAUAGAGCAACCAUGGCAGCCCCUGCGUGAUGGCUGGAGGUGGAGGUAGGAGAAGACCCCCUUGAGACUAUGACAGGUGGGCCCAAUGCGAGAUUUGAGUACACAAGUUGCAGAUUUUUGUGUUGUGUUCAAAAAUUCAUAUCUCGAGUUUUACAGCUCCUAAAAUCGUGAAACUUGUUUUGUUGGCUUCCUUAUGAAAUGCUCUAACUAUUGGAUCUAUAUGUUGGCAUGUUUUAGUGGAAAAGUUUUUCUGUAGAAAUUCGUAUUUAAAAACUGGUUUAGAGAAUAAACAAACUUGCUUCUCUCCAUAAUUUUAAUUAUAAAAAUCCAAAAAUGAUGAAACCUGUUUUGUUAGUUAGAUGUUGUCAUACCUCAUCUAGGAAAAAUAUAAAACUUACAUGUUGUUCACUGUUUUCUUGGUGUGUUAAUUAAAACAUGUUAAAUAGGAAAAAGAUGAUUGUUUUAAUUGUUAUUUUUGGAUCUGUAGCUCUGGUGCUCCAAAUAGGUUGAAAUUUUUACAGUAGACUCUUGGUGUGAUGUUUGGUGACUGGUAAUAAUUUCAUGAAUUCUUGUGCAUGUAUGAUUAAGUUAGUGAUUUAACUUGUUUAAUGCACCUUAAGUAGUUUUAAAUAAUUUAAAAAUGAUGAAUAGAUGCAAAAAUGUAAAAUGGUGUUCCACUGUCCUUGCAUGAUAUUAUAGUAGCCUAAGAAAACUCAAUAUGGUAAUGCAUCUACAGAAAAUAAUUAGUUUUAGAUUUAACUUGCUCUCACAUGCUUUAUUGCAUUGACAAUUUAUUAUUUUUGUAGUAAAUAAAAUAUAAAACCUGGGUAUGUGAAAUUUAUACCUUAGUCAUAAAUUGUUAUUACCUAUGCCUCAUAAAAAUGUCAGCCCCAAAUUAGAUAAUUUCAUAUGGUGCUAAAAUAACACUCAUUUUAUAAUUAUAAGAAGAGUUAGUGAAAAUUUGAAGUAAACAAAAGCUUGCAUGUCUCUUGGAAUGUUGAAUUAUACCUUAGUACCAAUUAGAGAUUAAAUGGUUAUGCGCAUGAUGAGUUUAGUAAGAAUCCAUCGGUGUCACUGGUGUUAAGUUGAGGUUUAUUUGCGCGUGUAAAGUAAUAAUGUGAUUAAUACUUAGAACUCUUAGUCGAUACUAGGAAUUGUUUUGGCUUAUAUAGAGAGGUGGUGACAUGCUGAAGUAGUCAUCGCUUCCUCUAUGUUUAUAAGUCGAGUCGAGUCGAUGCGCAUUAUGUGUUUGUUAAAUUAUGCUUCACAUAUAGUGUAUGAUUGUGCUCACGAUUUCGAGUAGACGCUUCAAGUAAAUCAAGUAGAUUUGUGAUACAAGUGUGUAAUGGAGUUAGUUGUUUUAGGAUAAUUAUUGAAAUACUCGGUUCGUAGGAUAAACAUGUAUGCGUUCAUGAUUUGGGAAGUAAAUGCGUGGUGACUGCGAUUUGAAGAUUUGUGAUUUACGAUUCAUAUGAGUUGGUCGGUGUGCGAAUAUACUUGUGAAUCUGCGUGUUUAUAAAAAUGUUGUAGUAUAUGUUGCGUCUCGGAUUGCGGCAAUAAUAGUCAAGUUGACGUGUAUGUUAUUUAGCGGCGAUGUCGUUGCUCUAGUUAACCGAAUUGUUAGAUGACGUGGUUAAGCCCGUAAUCACGGUGAAUUGCUUGUUGUAGUCUAAAUAUGUAUGUUUAUGGUCGCGGGUAAAAAGUAGUAGUGCUCAUAUGAUGUCGAAUUUAAAACGCAAAUUGUUGAGUGAUUGUCGUGGAGAAUGCGUUGUUAAUUGGUUGUAGUAAUUUUAGUGCACUAAUGAUUUGAAUAAAAUUUGCAAGUCGAAUUGUUGGUUCUAAUCUGAUUGUCUUAACUCGAACAAAUAGUAAAGCGUUAGAGUAAUUCAAGUCUCUCGAACGCGGCGAUUCUUGAAUUAUAUAGAAGCUGAAAUUUAGUAAUUGCUGUUUUGGACUGCACGCAGUGAUUUGCUAGUGCUGUAUGUUUGAUGAACAAAAUUGUAUUUUAUGUAGAUAUGUGCUAUAGAAAAGUGGUAGAUAACUUUAUUAUCUUGCUGGUGUUAAAAUUUGACAGGCAUAAGUCUGCUCGUUUAGGAGUUAUGAUUUUUACAAAUUCAGUAACUGAAUCUGUCCAAAUUCUGUACAGAUUUCAGAAACUGCAUUGUUUGCCUAAUUUAAUAUUACAAUCUGUUCAUGGUCAUUAUAAGAAAGUUGUAGAUGCUUUUCUGAUCUUGCUUGUGUUAAAAUUUCAUAAACACAGGCCUGAUAGUUUAAGAGUUAUGAAUUUUACAAACUGCUUGCUGUGUUCUGUCCUCUGUCAGAACAGAUUUCGAAAACUGUAAUGUUUGAUUUGAUUAAAACUGGAAUCACUUCUUGGUGAUUAUAAAGGUUAUGUAGUGCUUUUUCUAAGCUUUCCAAAAAGUCCCGGUUCACUAUUUUUGGUGAUUUGAAGAUUAAGUUAUGGAUGUUUAAAGUCUGAAGACUGAAUCUGUCCAAUUCUGGACAGCAAAGCCUUCUAGUGUAUUUUAUCCUUGGUUAAAUAUUGAAUCACCUUAAGAUGUUUAUAAAUAAUUUGUAGAACAUUUAAUUAGCUUUCCAGAAAGUCUACAAUCACUUUGUUUGGAUGUCUGAAUCUUUUGUUGUGAAUUUUUGAAGUUGCAAGUCUGCAUCUGUCCAAAUUUGGACAGCGCUGUUGUGUUAACAUCUUUUGACCUUGCUAAGUGUUUAAUCAUGUUGUGAUGACAAUACCAAAGUUGUAGAGAACUUUCUAAACUUUCCAGAAAGUAUUAGUUUGCUAUUUUUGGAUUAAUAUUUGAAAAGUUAUGAUUAAAACAAGUAGCUGCUGUGCUGCUGUCCUAAAAAUCUGCAUGUGCUCUAAUGAAUAUUUAGUUCACCAUUUUGGCUAAAAAUGCUUAGUUAGCACUUAACGAAUAUAGACUUGUGAUGGCUAAACUUAGGUUAACAUGUGCUUCAUGAUUAAUGUGCUUGCUUGCUGUAGUUGAUUGUGAUAGAGGAGUCCAUCGACAUUGAUGCGUCGGUCCUCUAUUAAACUUGUGUUUGUGAUGCUUUUGUGUGAUCAAUAGAACUAAUGCAAAGUCGUAGCAAUUAAAUAAAUGCGUGUACCUGUGAUAUCGUAUUUGUGUUGCGUAAAUAAAAAAAAUAUGGUCGUCUUGUUAAUGGUGUUAAUGAUGAACGCCGAUAACGUACGAAUAGCUAGCGCUUGCGUAUAGUCGUUGCAGUGUCUUACUACUUGGUGUUUAGUUCGCUACCGUGUAUUGUAUAUCUUGUGAUAACUUUUCAUUAUAUUUAUACAUAUGCAUCUUGCACCUCAUAUAUGACCGAGAGAUGAUGAUCGGGCUAGUGAUGUGGUGCCAACCACAAGAUGCAGUCGGUGGACGACCCAAGGAAGGAUGGACUUAACCAGUGGAUGCUCGCCAAGCGAGUACCUCCCCAGCAAACACUCUCUAAGUGUUAAAUUAAAGGCAAGCCCCGGUUUUAUGCAUAACCGUUAUAUAUGCUAUUUUACUGUACUUAAUGUUUGUAGGCUUGUACUGUGCACUUAAGUGUAGGAGUUGACUGAAACCCUAGUUGCAUGAACUCAGGAUUCCCUUUGAGAUGGAUACUAGUAUGCUAAGUCGAGUAGCUGCUUUAUUAAUUAGGGAAUUCGAUAGAAGUCGAGUGAUUUUUCUAGCACUCGCGCGAGGUCAGGAAAUUGGUUGUAUCCACUUUCUUCUCAUAAUGAUGCUGGUAGUGGACAACAAUCCAUGGGGAUUGGUUGUCCACGGGGUAAAAACUUGAAUAAGGAUUAAGGUGUGGUACCGUGAGUCAAGCGUUUGAACGUACUAAACACAUACCGAGAAAUAUGGUAAAUCGGUAAGCCUAGUACCUGAGUGAACCUGCCCGCAGAUUGCCCUCCUCACGCGACCUGAGACGAGGUCUCCCAUUCCGGUUAUGGUGGGUACAAGUGCGGUCACUGCACGACGGCCAGUCGGGGUCAGUGAGGCAUUGUACGCCAAGGCGGUGAGCCCCUUUCUGUUGCCAGGGAAUCGAUGGGGACGGUUGAUGUGUGUGGGGACGGGGUGCCCCUACAUGUCGUGUGUUUAGGUUUACCUUGCAAGGUUUAAAAAUUCGAUUCGAAUCGUCUGCUUCUCGCAGCUAAUGAGACUGCUUGAUCCAUGCUGCUACAUUGAGUAACAAGUGGAAAUGUGUUGACUUGGCGAAAGAUGUUGAUUGAUAAAAUGUUUGAUACCAUGUAUGAUUAGCUAGGUACACAUCUAGUCUAAAGGAUUCUACUAAAACUUGAAAAGCUAAAAUUUGUUUUUAGACUCAGCUAGUGCUUUUGGCAACCAAACCCCUCAGCCAAACAGCUGCAUGUCUAGAGGUAGAGGAGUAGACUCCUCACACCGGGUAAGUCUAGCUGAGUAUUAGUAUACUCAGCCUUGCUUGUGGCACAAUUUUUGCAGGUACUUCUUGAUUUGGUUGAUGGUGUGACUUGGCCUUCAUCCCUGCCACCGGGAUAGAUGGUCGAGUGGGUUACUACUUCCGCAGGAGAGGACCAGGAGGAGUAGUGUGGCCAGGCUUCGCCAUGUUACUCGGUUCUUCUCCGUUAGUUAUUUCCGCUGCAUUAAAAUUUAUGGUUAUUAUUUUUGAAACUCCGAUAAUGUAAUCACUAAUGGUACUUCUUAAAUUUGUG
rnacentral:lncRNA from 1 species